GGGUUUUUCUCCCGGUUUUGGUUUCAUUUUUGAUCCCUUCUGAUUCUUCUAUGCAGUUUUCAAGGUUCUGGCUGGUUACAUUCCCAGCAUUUACUCUUUCUUUUCAAGAUGUAGUGCUGGCUUGUUUUUUGUUUGAGUGGAGGUAAGCGGACUCGAACCGCUGACAUCUGCCUUGCAAAGGCAGCGCUCUACCAACUGAGCUAUACCCCCACACGAGUUUUAGGUGGGCUAUCCUGGACUUGAACCAGGGACCUCACCCUUAUCAGGGGUGCGCUCUAACCACCUGAGCUAAUAGCC
rnacentral:tRNA from 1 species